rnacentral:tRNA from 1 species
UGGGGUGUGGCUCAGGGGUGGAGCGCUCACCCAGCACGUGCAAGGCCCUGGGUUCGAUCCUCAGCACCAUAU